CCAAUCUGCUGCCAGCACAGCCAGAACACAGUAGGCGGAAGAAGGUGGGAUAGGCUGGCUUGAUGAGCCUUCUGACUUUCACCUUUCUCCCCUGCUGGAUGCAUCCAUCCAUCUCUCCCUCCUGCCUUCAGACAUCAGACUCCAGCUUCUUUGGCCUUUGGACUCUUAGACUUACACUAGUGGUUUGCUGGGGGCUUUCCGGCCUUUGGCCACAGACUGAAGGCUGCAUCGUCAGCUUCCCUACCUUUGAAGAUUUUGGACUUUGACUGAGUCACUAUUGGCUUCUUUCUUCCUCAGCUUGCAGACGGCCUAUCAUGGGACUUCACCUUGUGAUCAACCUAUUUUGGCAGGUAUACAACUUCUCCUGCAGGCUUCCUGGAUUGAUAUGACUGACUCUGGGAUUUCAAUCAAGUGGUGCUGGAGUAGAGUCACAUGACUGCUUGCUGGUCUGUGAGCCUGUUACCAGAUAUCUUUUCUGCCACAUCAAGGUGGAUGGAGUGACUUUCCAUCAAGUGCGUGGGACUGCUUACUACCAGAGGAGAAGGACUGAGGUGUUCUAUCUCUUUCCGGCACAAAUCAUCACUUCACAUAUCCCUUCUAGACAGCAGCUGUAUGAUAGCAUGAUACUUUUUUCUACUUGUUCUGAAGUGUGAACCGGAAAGAGCAGAAAGUGUUAGCCAGAGAAAAGACAUCCCUCUGUGAGGAUGCAUUUGGAGAAAAUGGUUGAUUCCCUUUAAGGAAUCAAGGUUAGCCUGCAGAGCUAAUAAAAGCCCCUUGGGAAAACUUGCCUGAUACCUUGUCUACACACUCUCUGUACAGGAUUGCUAAUCUGUGGUUGUUUUGGGGUGAGAUAAACAUUUAAAUUGGUGAACUUUGAGAGGAAAAUUAGAAGACAAGUAUCCUCAUUUCCACCUGGAUCCAGUCUUUCUUCCUUAUUACUUUUAUUAACAAUAUCAGUUAAGGUUUAUAUGGAUGUCUUGCUUUGGCCUGUACAAAAAACUACUUUGUAUAUGCCUUAUUUUAUUAAUUUUGCUUCUGAAUUUCAUCAAAUUCUCUGAUCAUAACUCUAUAUUCUUGUAAGGAAUGCUCAGAAUUAUACUAUUUCACUCCAAAUUUUAUUAUUAUUGAGACGAAACUGGGUAUAGAAAGUUGUGGGACCAGUUUGUAAUUUAUUGCUUUAAAAUUUGGUCAAGCCACUCAAAUUCUCUAGCUGUACCUAUGAAAUAGCUUUAAUAUUUCAAUCCCCUGCAUUUUCUUUGAAUAAUAUGGAGUUUGAAUUGAAGUGGUCCUGAAUUUGAGUGCUGCAUAUGCUACUUUUGAGAUAUGUGAUCUUGAGCAAGUUGCUUAAUCACAUUAAACCUCAAUUCUCUCAUCUUUAAAAUAGAAAAAAUAAUAGCUACUUUACAGUGUUGAGAAAAGAAUAAGAUGAAACAGUUUAUUAAAAACAUAGAAGAGUGCUUAAGACAUAAUAAAGUCUACAUAAAUUGUGCCUAUUGUUAUUACUAAUAAAAAAAAAAGAAAUUCUACGUGUCAGGAAUUUGAACAAAUUACAGCUGGAUUUGCAUAUUUCUUCCACAAGAUGUAUGUGGUCCCAUCUGAUAAUAGGGAAUUGGUUGGUAACUGGAAUCUUCUUGGAAACCUCUUAAAUCACAGAUCUUGCACUUGUACUGGGAUAAUCUGGAGUGUGUGCUCCUCUGAGUUUGUUGACCAAAUCACCUACAGGUGAACUCUCCAUAUAUGUAUUUUCCUAGUCAAUUCCUACACUGACCUCAAGCAAACACUGAUCAGCUUUCUGUCAUAAUAGAUGCGAUUUACUUUUUUAGAAUUUAAUAAAACUCAAAUUAUACUGUAUGCAUCCUUUUGUGUCUGGAUUGCUUUUUUUUCUCUGCCUUACAUUGUUGAAUAUAUUCUAGGUAUGUUUUACUAAUUGCUUGGUUGUAUAUUAAUGCAUACUGCAUUUUGUUUAUCCAUUCAACUAUUGAUGGAAAUUGGAGUUGUUUUCAGUUUCUGGUUAUAAAUAAAACAGCUAUGAACAUUUACAU
rnacentral:lncRNA from 1 species